rnacentral:tRNA from 1 species
GAGGGUAUGGCUCAGUGGUAGAGCACAUGCUUAGCAUGCACGAGGUCCUGGGUUCAAUCCCCCGUACCUCCA